CGCAACGUCACCCGGUUGUCACCCAGUGUCACCUGGUUGUGUCACCCUGCAAUGUCACCCGGUUGUCACCCAGUAUCACCCGGAGGUGUCACCCAGUGUUGUCACCCAGCAGUGUCACCCGGUGUUGUGCUGUUACCCAACAAUGUCACCCGGUUGUCACCCGGCGCUGUCACCUGGUGUUGUCACCCACUUAUCACCCAGCGUCACCCGCUGGUGUCACCCGGCAUCGUCACCUGCUGGUGUCACCUGGCACUGUCACCUGGCACUGUCACCCGGCGGCGUCACCCCGCGGUGUCACCCCCACCCCCAGCCUGGCAUUGUCACCCAUUGUCACCCAUUGUCACCCGGCAGUGUCACCCCAACCCAACACCCCCCUGCAGCGGUGGUACCUUGGUAGGCGGUGUCACCCGGCAUCGUCACCUGUUGGUGUCACCUAUUGGUGUCACCUGGCGAUGUCACCCGGCGGCGUCACCCCGCGGUGUCACCCCCACCCCCAGCCUGGCAUUGUCACCCAUUGUCACCCGGCAGUGUCACCCCAACCCAACACCCCCCUGCAGCGGUGGUACCUUGGUAGGCGGUGUCCCACGGCGCGGUGACGUCAGGCGCUGGUGGCUCGCUGGGGGCUGUGGGGGUGUCACCGGCUGUCCCCAUUUGUCCCCACAUUGUCCCCGUUUGUCCCCACAGUGUCCUUGCUUGUCCCUGUUUGUCCCCAGGGGUCCCUGUCUGUCCCCAACGUGUCCCCAUCCGUUCUCACGGUGUCACCAGGGUGUCCCCAUUUGUCCCCAGAGUGUCCCCAUUCAUCCCCAGCUGUCCCUGUCCGCCCCCAUUUGCCCUCAGCUGUCCCCAAAGCGUCCCUGUUUGUCCUUAAAGUGUCCCCUAAGUGUCCCCCUCCAUCCUCGGGGUGUCCCCAUCCAUCCCCAUUCAUCUCCAGCUGUCCCCAUUUGUCCCCAGUGGUCCUCG
rnacentral:lncRNA from 1 species